rnacentral:rRNA from 1 species
UUUCGGGUCCAAACAGGCACACUCAAACUCAGCCUACAGGAGGCCGGCCGGUGUUGAGCAUUUAAAAUGUGCACACCAACAAAAAUGAUACCCUUUCAGUACGAGAGAAGUACUGGCAACAAUAUCUUCUCCCUUGCGCGUCUGUUUGACUCCUUGGUCCGUGUUUCAAGACGGGUGAAGGCACCCCAUUCCGAGUUUGCCAACAUCGAGCAUCACGAAGAAGCCAGGCCUCGCGGUAAAACCGUGCACCUAACUCUAGAAUCGCUCAUUUCGCCAUACCCCUUUUUGGCAGCUGUUGCCGAGGAAAACCAAGGUUAUCCCGGAUAGUGCUUUAGGGCAGGCUUUGGCCAGUGAAAUGGAGGUACUUCCAUUGUCAUUGUCACGACUUCAGGUUCUAUGUCACUCUCUUUCCAAAGUGCUUUUCAAACUUUCGCUCACGCUACUUGUUCGCUAUCGGUCUUCCUA